rnacentral:rRNA from 1 species
GGAUCCAGACUUUGAUUAUGGCUCAGGAUGAACGCCGGCGGCGUGCCUAACACAUGCAAGUCGAACGGACUUACAUUGAAGCCUAGCGAUAUGUAAGUUAGUGGCGGACGGGUGAGUAACGCGUGGGUAACCUGCCUUGUACUGGGGGACAACAGUUGGAAACGACUGCUAAUACCGCAUAAGCGCACAGCUUCGCAUGAAGCGGUGUGAAAAACUCCGGUGGUACAAGAUGGACCCGCGUCUGAUUAGCUGGUUGGUGAGGUAACGGCCCACCAAGGCGACGAUCAGUAGCCGGCCUGAGAGGGUGAACGGCCACAUUGGGACUGAGACACGGCCCAAACUCCUACGGGAGGCAGCAGUGGGGAAUAUUGCACAAUGGGGGAAACCCUGAUGCAGCAACGCCGCGUGAGUGAAGAAGUAUUUCGGUAUGUAAGGCUCUAUCAGCAGGAAAGAAAAUGACGGUACCUGACUAAGAAGCCCCGGCUAACUACGUGCCAGCAGCCGCGGUAAUACGUAGGGGGCAAGCGUUAUCCGGAUUUACUGGGUGUAAAGGGAGCGUAGACGGUUUUGCAAGUCUGAAGUGAAAGCCCGGGGCUUAACCCCGGGACUGCUUUGGAAACUGUAGGACUAGAGUGCAGGAGAGGUAAGUGGAAUUCCUAGUGUAGCGGUGAAAUGCGUAGAUAUUAGGAGGAACACCAGUGGCAAAGGCGGCUUACUGGACUGUAACUGACGUUGAGGCUCGAAAGCGUGGGGAGCAAACAGGAUUAGAUACCCUGGUAGUCCACGCUGUAAACGAUGAUUGCUAGGUGUGGGGGGACUGACCCCUUCCGUGCCGCAGUUAACACAAUAAGUAAUCCACCUGGGGAGUACGGCCGCAAGGUUGCAACUCAAAUGAAUUGACGG